AAUUCCUGUGCUGCUGCUUCUCGACGUUCGGCUAUCUUCCCGCGGAGGCCACUUCAUUCACGAAGUUCUGAAGCGACGAGGAAAUAGUGAAAGCUUCCACGCCUCUCUUUGCUUCUCAACAGGUCUAAUAGCAUUAUUUACAAUUUUACACUGUUCGUUAGAAUUGAUGCUCUGUACAAUGGAGGCGGUUGGGAAAUGAGAUGAAAACAUUUGAUUAAGGAAAUCUAUUCAAGAAGUACCUUGGAAAUAUUUGUGACAAUAUGUUCCGAAUAUUUGCAGGUGAAGAUUUUCUUGAUGAUUACUGUAGAAUGUCUUGGAACAUUUUCUUUUAGCUUAUGCCAAAGUCGCCAUCCAGGACAAUCAUUUUGCUGUAAUUGAGGGUACGUACAUCUCUGCUUUCUCUUAAAUUAUGAACAUAAUAUGGGGAAGGGUCUAUCUAGUGAAGCUCCUCAUAAUUGAUGCAUGUUAGAUUUGAAAAAUAUAAGUAUUUCGUGUAAGAAUUACGCCCCUAUAUGAUAUUUGUCCAUGCAUAUCCAUUAAAUGGUCAAGAAUAUUUGUUCCUUGAACAGAAAUCCUGUUGGGAAUUCCCUAUAUAAUUUCAUCGAAUUAAUUUCAGAACAAGUGAUGCAUUAAUUUUAAAUUAUUUUCUUGGUAUUUUGCGAAUCAAAUAUGUACCUUAGAUUGAGAUUAAUUGUUGAAUGCCGGAAAACUUUAUUUUGUAACAGAUCUCUAUGCUUGAUAGAACAUUUUAUGAAAUAUUUUCACUUAUUAUUCGAAGUAAAGCUCAUUUGUUGUUGAAAAAUUGUUUUCCUAUAUCCAUAAAUCUCAAUGAAAAAAGUGGUCCACAUAGUAAUUAUUGAAGCCUUAUUAUAGCUACCAAUCAAAAGGUAUUGAAUUCGAAUCUUAUUUAUGUGAUGUGCGUGUGAGUUUACUG